UAGCGGCAGGCUUACACAUGCAAGUCGAGGGGUAACGACUCCGUCUUCGGAUGGAGGUCGACGACCGGCGCACGGGUGAGUAACGCGUAUGCAACCUACCUUUUACAGGAGGAUAGCCCAGAGAAAUUUGGAUUAAUACUCCAUAGUACUAAUGAAUCACCUGGUUUAUUAGUUAAAACUCCGGUGGUAAAAGAUGGGCAUGCGUGUCAUUAGCUAGUUGGUAAGGUAACGGCUUACCAAGGCGAAGAUGACUAGGGGUUCUGAGAGGAAGAUCCCCCACACUGGUACUGAGACACGGACCAGACUCCUACGGGAGGCAGCAGUGAGGAAUAUUGGUCAAUGGGUGAGAGCCUGAACCAGCCAUGUCGCGUGAAGGAAGACUGCCCUAUGGGUUGUAAACUUCUUUUCUGCAGGAAGAAAUCACUCUACGUGUAGGGUGUUGCCGGUACUGCAGGAAUAAGCAUCGGCUAACUCCGUGCCAGCAGCCGCGGUAAUACGGAGGAUGCAAGCGUUAUCCGGAUUUAUUGGGUUUAAAGGGUGCGUAGGCGGGCUUGUAAGUCAGUGGUGAAAUGCUGUGGCUUAACCAUAGAAUUGCCAUUGAAACUGCAAGUCUUGAGUGCAGUUGAGGUGGGCGGAAUGAGUAAUGUAGCGGUGAAAUGCAUAGAUAUUACUCAGAACUCCGAUUGCGUAGGCAGCUUGCUAAACUGUAACUGACGCUGAUGCACGAAAGCGUGGGGAGCGAACAGGAUUAGAUACCCUGGUAGUCCACGCUGUAAACGAUGAGCACUGGUUGUUGGCAAUACACCGUCAGCGACUGAGCGAAAGUAUUAAGUGCUCCACCUGGGGAGUACGUCGGCAACGAUGAAACUCAAAGGAAUUGACGGGGGCCCGCACAAGCGGAGGAACAUGUGGUUUAAUUCGAUGAUACGCGAGGAACCUUACCUGGGCUUAAAUGUAGAGUGCAUUGUUGGAAACAACAUUUCUUCGGAACUCUUUACAAGGUGCUGCAUGGUGUCGUCAGCUCGUGCCGUGAGGUGUCGGUUAAGUCCCAUAACGAGCGCACCCUAUUGUUAGUUACCAGCACGUAAUGGUGGGGACUCUAGCAAGACGCCGGUGUAAACCGUGAGGAAGGUGGGGAGACGUCAAAUCAGCACGGCCCUUAUGUCCAGGGCUACACACGUGUUACAAUGGCAAGUACAAAGAGCAGCCACCUGGCGACAGGGCGCUAAUCUCAAAAGCUUGCCUCAGUUCGGAUCGAAGUCUGCAACUCGACUUCGUGAAGGUGGAUUCGCUAGUAAUCGCGCAUCAGCCAUGGCGCGGUGAAUACGUUCCCGGGCCUUGUACACACCGCCCGUCAAGCCAUGGAAGCUGGGGGUACCUGAAGUCCGUAACC
rnacentral:rRNA from 1 species